AAAGGGAGACCUAAUUCGGGUAUAAGACGAAAAAAUAGUAGUCGAAACCAAGAAUCAAUCCCAAAAGGUCGGAACGAGGUAUGUGGCCUUCAAACUAGGUUCUGGGUUCAUAAAAGACCUGAAUCAGGAACAAGGGCUAUUAGCUCAGGUGGUUAGAGCGCACCCCUGAUAAGGGUGAGGUCCCUGGUUCGAGUCCAGGAUGGCCCACCUGCACAGGUGGCGAAAACAAAGAAAAGAAGCGAGGAAUCAGCACCUUAUCUUACUUAUAUAGUAAGAGAGAAUGCUGGCUCUGAGUACAGAGUCCAGAGGAACCUUGAAAACUGCAUAGAGCUAGGUGAAAAAGCCAAAAAAGAAGACCGCAAG
rnacentral:tRNA from 1 species